rnacentral:rRNA from 1 species
GGACGAACGCUGGCGGCGUGCUUAACACAUGCAAGUCGAACGGAAAGACCCUGCUUUUGUGGGGUGCUCGAGUGGCGAACGGGUGAGUAACACGUGAGUAACCUGCCCUUGACUUUGGGAUAACUUCAGGAAACUGGGGCUAAUACCGGAUAGGAGCUCCUGCUGCAUGGUGGGGGUUGGAAAGUUUCGGCGGUUGGGGAUGGACUCGCGGCUUAUCAGCUUGUUGGUGGGGUAGUGGCUUACCAAGGCUUUGACGGGUAGCCGGCCUGAGAGGGUGACCGGCCACAUUGGGACUGAGAUACGGCCCAGACUCCUACGGGAGGCAGCAGUGGGGAAUAUUGCACAAUGGGCGGAAGCCUGAUGCAGCAACGCCGCGUGCGGGAUGACGGCCUUCGGGUUGUAAACCGCUUUCGCCUGUGACGAAGCGUGAGUGACGGUAAUGGGUAAAGAAGCACCGGCUAACUACGUG